CAUUGCUGAGCACUGUGAUUUUUUUUUCUACAACCAGGCAGAUUGUUUAAACCACCACAGAGCAGGGGCAGAGCCUGCAAGAAGCUGAGGCAUUUCUAUACAAGACAAUUUGAAGACUUCAGAGAGCACUGGGGGAUCUCUUUGACUCUUGGCAGUGAACAGACUAAACUGAGAAGUACAGAAGUGUGAAAAAAAUUGGGAACUUUCUUCUCGUCCUUUUAUCCUUCAGAAAUCUGACUAUCUGCAAAAACAGAAGAAAAAUCAAAGCACGACAUAAAAGUUUUAGCAUAAGAACAACUGGAUAAGAGCAAAGGUCUCUCAGGCAGAGUCCUACUUCCAGCAGCAGCCAGUGGCAGAGGCGGGAGGAAGAGGAGAGGAACCAGGCUUGUACAUAAAGAUUCCUGUGCUUGGCUGUACUUCUCCAAUCACUGGCUGCCAGCAUGCUUGGACUUCCUUCAGUGGAGACUGCUCUAAGCCAGGAUGUUUCACAGCUCCCUCAUGGCCCUCUCAAAGGAUAGUAUGAGACAAAACAGAGAUGACUAUCAAUGAGAGUAAAGAGUGAUACCUGAAAGAAAAUUCAGGGAGAAAAAUACUCUGAGGCAAUUUAGUUUUGAAGGUGAGACAAGGAAAGGGGUUUUAAUUUUGUGCCUAGGCAUAAGAAUACAAGACACGCACGUGCCCCUCUGUACAGAUGUUACAAUUUAUAAUAUUGUCUGUCCAAUCCCAUGUUUUGUCCACCUGCUGGCUUUUGCCUUGGACCACCCUCAGUCACACCCCUUGGGAACUGGGGAUAGGGUCUCUAAGACCACCUCUUCAUCAAUCUUCAUCUUCUUCGGGGUACAGGGGGCAUAUAUUCACCCACUUCUUGACUGUACUUUUGCAGUUCAGGCCAGGAUUAGAUAUCCUUUAACAGAAGAUGCCUAUCUUAAAGAGAGAUAUUUCUACUGGAAUUUAAGGGGUAGAAUUGA